rnacentral:lncRNA from 1 species
GAAGAUAUAAGAAACUCAAUAUAAAUUUUAAAUGAAGAUAUAAGUUGUUAGUUUUACUAUUCAUAAAAGAAUUCGAUAUAGGCCCAAUUUCAUUGUCCAAAUGAAGAAAAUUUCAAUUAAUCACAAAAAGAAAUUUAAUAUUUCAACUACGAACAUGUAAUUCUUUCAUAGAACAAAUCACAACAUAAGACGUUAUAGCAAAAAACAAAUCAAAACCCUUAUUCAAAUAUGAUAAUGCUUUAAAAAUAUAAAAAGUAAAUCAAUGUCGG